UACGUAGGGUGCAAGCGUUGCCCGGAUUUAUUGGGCGUAAAGGGCGCGCAGGCGGCUACGCACGUCCGUUGUGAAAUCUCCCGGCUCAACUGGGAGGGUGCGCCGAAUACUGAGCGACUAGAGUGCGGGAGAGGAAAGUGGAAUUCCUGGUGUAGCGGUGAAAUGCGUAGAUAUCAGGAGGAACACCGGUGGUGUAGACGGCUUUCUGGACCGUAACUGACGCUGAGACACGAAAGCGUGGGUAGCAAACAGG
rnacentral:rRNA from 1 species